ACCCAAUUCUCAUUAAUUGGUCAUCACUAUAUACAGCAAGUCUUCUAAUGUCACUUUCUUCUUCCAGCUUUGUUUCCACGUUCUGCAAUUAAAAGAAACAAGGAUUCCUUUCUCCUCCAAAAACAAUGGAAAGCAACCAAUCGGCAAAAGAGAUCACGGUGGAAGUAGAAGAGUUCGAGGACUUGCUGCCCGUGAUGGCAGAGAAGUUGGAUGUGGAGACCUUUGUGUCUGAGUUGUGUGGGGGUUUCAAGCUUCUGGCUGACCCAGAAACGGGUUUGAUCACUGGUGAGAGUCUUAUGAGGAACUCAGCUAUGUUGGGUAUGGAUGGGAUGAGCAAAGAGGAAGCAGAAACCAUGGUUAGACAGGGAGAUCUUGAUGGGGAUGGGAAGCUCAAUGAAACUGAGUUUUGCAUCCUUAUGGUGAGGCUUAGCCCUGGGAUCAUGGAAGAUGCUGAGACCUGGCUUCACAAGGCACUUGAACAAGAGCUCACCAAGUCCUCAACUUAAAUUCCACACUUUCCAAAUCAAUUUUUGUUCGAGCAUUGACGAGUUUGACUCAAGAGGGAGAAGAAAUCCCUUCAGGUGUGGCCAAGGGGGGGCUGAUUUGCGACUCCUCAGGAAGGUGGAUGGUCAUUACAGCAACGACAACCCAUCUGGUCCGAUUUGAUAUUGUCUCUUGCUCAUAUGAGGACACAAUCUCCAUGCUCAAAAGAUCAAGGAUAUCCAGAAAUUGAUUCAAAGAAACAGGCUGAUAUAGUAUCCAUGGGAAAGAGUCUGAGAUGGACAAGUUUUGUAGGAGUAACCUAACUAAGUAACAAUUUCGAUGUUUCAUAAUCGUAUUUACUAUUUAUUAAAAAUCAUGCAAGAGCUGCUGCUGCACAUUUCAAAAGUCCUUUGCAUUUUUAGCUUUCACAAAUAUAUUAAUUAAUUGUGAAUAUUAACUAUUUAUCA